UUGCUUGCACUAUUGGAUGAACAGGAGUCAAGUGGUGAUGAUUUUCCUGCAUCAUUGAUCCCCAAAUCAAGGAAAUUUUCCCCCUUCUCCUUGUUUCCGGAUAUAGACCUAUUCGUCAGACUGUUGAGACCCUCCCGUCGCAUCUAAAAGAUACCACAGAUGUAUUGAGAAAAAUGGAAGGGAUGCAAUUGGACCCGGAGAUGAUAAUAGCAACAUGUGAUGUGGAAUUACUGUACACCUCCAUACGGCAUACGGAUGGCCUAGCGGCAGUUGAAUUUUUCUUAAGAUCAUCUGAAAUUCAGGAAGAUAGAUGAAUCUAGUUGACCACAUCCCAGUGGGACAGUUUCUGUGGGUAAAAAGAGUAUGCUCCACCAAGGCAGCGUUUGAAACGCAAGCAGAGAUUUUAUGGAGACGUUUUCAACAACGGGGGUACAAGGAGACGGACAUCAGGAGGGCAUAUGAAUGAGCAAAAUUUAUGGAUCGGAAUAACCUUCUGUAUCCCAGGGCCGAUAAGAUGACACAAGCCAAGAAGGAGGAGAAAAUGAGAUUUAUCACGGAAUA